UACGUAGGGGCAAGCGUUGGUCCGGAAUUAUUGGGCGUAAAGAGCGCGUAGGCGGUCCGGUAAGUCAGCUGUGAAAGUCAAGGGCUCAACCCUUGAAAGCCGGCUGAUACUGCCGGACUAGAGUCCGGAAGAGGCGAGUGGAAUUCCAGGUGUAGCGGUGAAAUGCGUAGAUAUCUGGAGGAAUACCGGUGGCGAAGGCGGCAUCCUGGACCGGUAUUGA
rnacentral:rRNA from 1 species